ACUCAAAGGAAUAGACGGGGACCCGCACAAGCGGUGGAGCAUGUGGAUUAAUUCGAUACUAACCGAAGAACCUUACCCACUCUUGACAUUGAAGGAAAGCUCUAGAGAUAGAGUCCUCCCCCACAAGGGGACCUGAAAACAGAUGUUGCAUGGCUGUCGUCAGCUCGUGCCGUGAGGUGUACGGUUAAGUCCGCCAACGAGCGCAACCCUCGUCUUGUGUUACCAGCACGUAAUGGUGGGCACUCACAAGAGACCGCCGGUGUAAGCCGGAGGAAGGUGAGGAUGACGUCAAGUCAGCAUGGCUCUUACGAGUGGGGCUUCACACAUGCUACAAUGGGCGCAACAAUGGGCAGCAAUACCGCGAGGUGGAGCAAAUCCCAAAAAUACGUCCUCAGUUCAGAUUGCAGUCUGCAACUCGACUGCAUGAAGGCGGAAUCGCUAGUAAACGCAGGUCAGCUAUACUGCGUUGAAUACGUUCCCGGGUCUUGUACACACCGCCCGU
rnacentral:rRNA from 1 species